ACUGGGUCUCUUGAGGUAGC
rnacentral:miRNA from 1 species